rnacentral:tRNA from 1 species
GCGGAUGUAGCUCAGUUGGUAGAGCAUCAGUUUGUGGCACUGACGGUCGCCAGUUCGAUCCUGGUCAUUCGCCCCA